rnacentral:misc_RNA from 1 species
GUAAGUUAUUGCCAGGGUUUUUAUUUUGUACUUUAAACCUUAAAUUUAUUUUUUAUAUUUUUUUAAUGUUCAUGUUUUUGAAUGUUUUAUUCAAAUAAUGUAAAAAAUAAAAUAGAUAUUGACAUGGAUUGAACAAAAGAUAUAUAUUAUUUUAUGUUGCAUAAACAAAUUGGCAAAAUAGAGAUGGAAGAUAAAAAUAUGGUCAAAGUAAUAAGAGUC